rnacentral:tRNA from 1 species
GCCGGAGUGGCGGAAUUGGCAGACGCCUUGGACUUAAAAUCCAAUGGGUAUUUGAUACCCGUGCCGGUUCGAGUCCGGCCUCCGGCAC